CCUACGGGAGGCAGCAGUGGGGAAUAUUGGACAAUGGGGGAAACCCUUAUCCAGCGACGCCGCGUGAGGGAAGAAGGUUUUCGGAUUGUAAACCUCUGUCAGUGGGGACGAUAAUGACGGUACCCACGGAGGAAGCCACGGCUAACUACGUGCCAGCAGCCGCGGUAAUACGUAGGUGGCAAGCGUUGUCCGGAAUUACUGGGUGUAAAGGGAGCGUAGGCGGGAUGUCAAGUCAGAAGUGAAAAUUAUGGGCUUAACCCCCAAACUGCUUUUGGAACUGCGUGUCUUGAGUGAUGGAGAGGCAGGCGGAAUUCCCAGUGUAGCGGUGAAAUGCGUAGAUAUUGGGAGGAACACCAGUGGCGAAGGCGGCCUGCUGGACAUUAACUGACGCUGAGGCGCGAAAGCGUGGGGAGCAAACAGGAUUAGAUACCCGAGUAGUC
rnacentral:rRNA from 1 species